rnacentral:lncRNA from 1 species
CGAAUUUGCCUUAAUCUUGUUUUGUUGUUUCAAUAGCUAGUAAAAAUUACCUAUAUCGUGUUUAUAAUUAAUAUGACAACUGCUUAGAUGAAAAAGGUUUACUUUAGUGUGUUUAGUCCAAUACAUCAUCUCAAAAUAUAAAAGCAAACGGAAUAAUAUCAUUUAAACUUAUCAAGGUACAAGGCUUUUAAUGUGAUAUGACAGACGCACACGUUGUCUUGUUUAGCCACACAAAUGGCACUCGAAUCAAAACAUUUGAUCGAAGGCAAAAUGAAUACAAA